AGAGUUUGAUCCUGGCUCAGAAUGAACGUUGGCGGCGCGCCUAACACAUGCAAGUCGAGCGGGAAAGUUCCUUCGGGGACGAGUAGAGCGGCGGACGGGUGAGUAACGCGUGAGAAUCUACCCUUUAGUGAAGGAUACCUUUGAGAAAUUGAAGUUAAUACUGCAUAUCUUCCUCCGGGAAGAAAGAUGGCCUCUUGCUGUCGCUAAAGGAUGAGCUUGCGUACUAUUAGCUAGUUGGUGGGGUAAUGGCCUACCAAGGCGAUGAUGGUUAGCCGGCCUGAGAGGGUGAACGGCCACACUGGAACUGCGACACGGUCCAGACUCCUACGGGAGGCAGCAGUGAGGAAUAUUGCGCAAUGGGCGAAAGCCUGACGCAGCGACGCCGCGUGGAGGAUGAAGGUUCUAGGAUCGUAAACUCCUGUUAAGUGGGAAGAAAGACCUUCUUUUAAUAGAAGAGGGGGAUGACAGUACCACUAGAGAAG
rnacentral:rRNA from 1 species